rnacentral:rRNA from 1 species
CCUACGGGAUGCAGCAGUGAGGAAUAUUGGUCAAUGGGCGGAAGCCUGAACCAGCCAAGUAGCGUGCAGGAUGACGGCCCUACGGGUUGUACACUGCUUUUAUACGGGAAUAACGCGCCUUACGUGUAGGGCUUUGCAUGUACCGUAUGAAUAAGGACCGGCUAAUUCCGUGCCAGUAGCCGCGGUAAUACGGAAGGUCCGGGAGUUAUCCGGAUUUAUUGGGUUUAACGGGGGCGUAGGCCGCAUGUCCAGCGUGCUGUGAAAUGUCCGGGCGAAACCCGGGCCUUGCAGCGCGAACUGGCGUGCUUGAGUCCGCGGAAAGCAGGCGGAAUU